UGUAUCAGAUAUGCCGCUGAUAUGUCGCAGACACAACCCCAGAUACCCUUUGUGAACUUAUUCUUAUAUCGUUGCCUCGGCGCUGAGCUGGGGGCUUCUUUCCAAGGAGCUCUCCCAUGGUCUCUCGGGACGAUGGAGCAAGCCCGCCGGCGGCCCUUCUAAACUCUUGUUUUUAUUACGUAUCUCUUCUGAGUUAUUCAAAACAAAAUGAAUCAAAACUUUCAACAACGGAUCUCUUGGUUCUGGCAUCGAUGAAGAACGCAGCGAAAUGCGAUAAGUAAUGUGAAUUGCAGAAUUCAGUGAAUCAUCGAAUCUUUGAACGCACAUUGCGCCCGCUGGAAUUCCAGCGGGCAUGCCUGUUCGAGCGUCAUUUCACCCCUCAAGCCUUGCUUGGUGUUGGAGCACUACCGUUUGUAUAAAGCGGUAGGCUCUGAAAUUCAGUGGCGGGCUCGCUAAGACUCUGAGCGUAGUAGUUUAUCACCUCGCUUUGGAAGGAUUAGCGGUGCUCUUGCCGUAAAACCCCCCAACUUCUGAAUUUUGACCUCGGAUCAGGUAGGAAUACCCGCUGAACUUAAGCAUAUCAAUAAGCCGGAGGAA
rnacentral:rRNA from 1 species